GUGGGGAAUAUUGCACAAUGGAGGGAACUCUGAUGCAGCGACGCCGCGUGAAGGAAGAAGGUUUUCGGAUUGUAAACUUCUAUCAGCAGGGACGAAAAUGACGGUACCUGACUAAGAAGCCCCGGCUAACUACGUGCCAGCAGCCGCGGUAAUACGUAGGGGGCAAGCGUUAUCCGGAAUUACUGGGUGUAAAGGGUGCGUAGGCGGUAAUGUAAGUCAGGUGUGAAAGCCCGAGGCUCAACUUCGGGAUUGCACUUGAAACUACAUAACUAGAGUACAGGAGAGGUGAGUGGAAUUCCUAGUGUAGCGGUGAAAUGCGUAGAUAUUAGGAGGAACACCAGUGGCGAAGGCGACUCACUAGACUGUAACUGACGCUGAGGCACGAAAGCGUGGGUAGCGAACAGGAUUAGAAACCCUAGUAGUCC
rnacentral:rRNA from 1 species